UACGGAGGGGGCUAGCGUUGUUCGGAAUUACUGGGCGUAAAGCGCACGUAGGCGGCUUUGCAAGUUAGAGGUGAAAGCCCGGGGCUCAACUCCGGAAUUGCCUUUAAAACUGCAUCGCUAGAAUUGUGGAGAGGUAAGUGGAAUUCCGAGUGUAGAGGUGAAAUUCGUAGAUAUUCGGAAGAACACCAGUGGCGAAGGCGACACGCUGGGCCGUACCUGACACUGAGGCGCGAUAGCAUGGGGAGCAAACAGG
rnacentral:rRNA from 1 species